UUUUCUUUUGCAGAGUUUUGAAGUUUUCAUCAUAGAUCAAUUGAAAGAACUAUUGAAAAAAGAAUUUUUGUUGAAAAUACUUGGGAAAAUGGAGGAAAGUAGAAUAGCAAAUAGCAUAGCUUGAGCCAUACUCGCUGCCCUUGACUGAAAGUCCUCUCUGGAGGCUCACAAUGUUGCCUAUUGGUUAUUCCUACUUAGAAUCUCUUCCAUAUCUUUUGCUUGAGAUUUCAAUGCUGCAAAGUCAUAAAACCUAGAUGAGCAGAGGCAAACAUCAAAGCUUAUUGUAAAUGAUGUAAGUGAAAUGAGAUCUAGUCUUAAUCGAUUGGGCAUGACAUUAAUUUAAUCAAUGAGAUGGUAUGCAGCUUGGAAUGAAAAAUUGAGCUUCUUGAAAGCAAGCAGGUAAAGAUUUGAUCUUUUGCAAGCAUACACAAUCUCUUCCUCACUUGAUGUAUUGGAAGUUUCUGCAUCUGUUGAUAAAUGAUCUGCAGGUUAAGACUAACUCGGGUUUGUAUUAUCUCUGCCAAGUAAAAUACUAAAGAUGGAUUGACUUAGGUUAAUUUUAUAUAGAAUAAGGAUUGAAUUUUUACCAACCACAUAGAAUACGAUUUAACUUUCCUACUUUUAAUGGGAUUCACAUGAUUCUCACAUCGAAUAGAAAUCAAAAGAAUCCUCUUUUGUUUCCAAAUAUAUAGAGGCUUACAAUUGUGUUUUAUUCAUUCCAAUUUAGAAAAAUAUUCAUGGACUAUCUUGGUGGCUGGUGUAGUAUGCAUGAUGAAGCAACUAGACAUGAUUGACAAAACAACCCUUUGCCAUCAACUAAUAAAGAGUCAGUUCAAUAAGACUUAUCGUGGCAGAUCAAUCCAUUUGGGAACUCUGCAAUUCAAGAUUACCUACUUGGGGCUGAGUUGGGAUUUCAUUCCAUUCAUUUUGCAUGGAUUGAUUAUCAAUACAAGGUAAAACUUGAUGCAGAUAAAUCACUUAAAUUUAUAUGGCAGGCUUCCAUGACAUUUGGCUCCUCUUCUCAGAUACUUACCGAAUCAUUUCAUGUUCAUUAUAGUUCACCAUUGGUUUCCAUUUUGAAGUAGAUGAUGACUCCAUCCUGUUCAAGGUUCUAUCUUCAACCAAACAUUAGUUAGUCCCAACGAUCUUUAUGGUUGUUGUUGUCGAUUUUAUCCCGCAAGUAUACGGAUCGUAACAAGUAGUAAAGUGGACUUAAGAGUCCUAGUUGUUGAUUUCAUAAGGACUAUACUUUGACACUUAAUUCAAUUUUCCUUAACCAUUAUUUGAUGAAAAUAAACAAAAAUGAUGAUUGAUUGUGAUUUUUAUCUAACUACUCAAAAUGAGAAUGGAUGCAACGAAAAAUGAUUUGGAAUUCAAACAAUAAAUGAAUGUUAGGGCUAAACAACUUCACCUAUUGGUCACAUUUACUUCUAAUA